rfam:Triticum aestivum genome assembly, contig: Triticum_aestivum_CS42_TGACv1_scaffold_584002_7BL
UUUAUACUCCCUCCGUCCAAAAAUACUUGUCAUCAAAAUGAUCAAAAGGGGAUGUAUCUAGACCUAUAUUAGUUCUAGAUACAUCUAUUUUUGUCCGUUUUGAUGACAAGUAUUUUCGGACGGAGGGAGUAUUUC